CCUACGGGUGGCAGCAGUGAGGAAUAUUGGUCAAUGGGCGCGAGCCUGAACCAGCCAAGUCGCGUGAAGGAUGACUGCCCUACGGGUUGUAAACUUCUUUUAUAAAGGAGUAAAGUGAGGGACGUGUCCCGCUUUGUAUGUACCUUAUGAAUAAGCAUCGGCUAACUCCGUGCCAGCAGCCGCGGUAAUACGGAGGAUGCGAGCGUUAUCCGGAUUUAUUGGGUUUAAAGGGAGCGUAGAUGGGUUGUUAAGGCAGGUGUUAAAGUUUGCGGCUCAACCGUAAAAUUGCAGUUGAUACUGGCAGUCUUGAGUACAGUAGAGGUAGGCGGAAUGCGUGGUGUAGCGGUGAAAUGCUUAGAUAUCACGAAGAACUCCGAUUGCGAAGGCAGCUUACUAGACUGCAACUGACAUUGAUGCUCGAAAGUGUGGGUAUCAAACAGGAUUAGAUACCCGGGUAGUC
rnacentral:rRNA from 1 species